GAUAACACUGAACAAAUGUUUAUUCUGUUUUUUAAUCUUGUGUACAUAGAUGAACUGCUUAUUUUUAAAAACAUGAACUGAAAGUACAUUGUGAGCCUACUGUAAAAGAAAACAGGAGCAGAAUAUUAGUAAAAUAUUCAGAUAACACCAUAUGAUUGAUAGGAAACUGUAAAUGUUAGAAUGGGCUGAGCAAUAACUAUGGAAACAAGAUGCUUGACUAAGAAAUGAAUGAAUUUGAUUUGCCACGGAUCAUUGCAGCUUAUACGCUACCAUUCUUUUAUAGAAGGAUAGUUUGAAACUCAAAAAUACAGGAAGGUGGCAAUAAUGUCAUAGCCUUAGAUAUGCUUAUUCGAUGUUCUGGCCAUGAAAUACAUAUUAUGCAAGCUUGGGGUUGUAGGUGUAGAAGGUAGUGGUCAGAACUGGUCAUUGAAUUGAUAUUCAGUGCCUAGCUGUUAUUUUUGGAUAAUACGGACAGAUUAGAAAAUAUAUGCAGAGGAAAGAUUAAGCAGCUAAUUAGCACUUCAUAUAGUACAUUAUUAGAGUCAAGAAUAGGGAAUUUAUUUUUUUCAAACCCACAAAAUGUUGAAGUCUCUGCAGAGAAUUCAAGGUAAAUGCCAGCACAUCCUUGAUGUACACAAACAUUGGCGAGUGAAGUGAGUAAUUAAAUGGUGGUAUAAUAGACAGUAAUAGGUUGCGGUCAUGAAAUGAAAACUUUUCUGCUCUGCUGAUGGUGAACUCAAAGACUGCAACGGUGAAGGCAGUGGAACCACUUCCUCAGAUACAACAGUAGUUUGGCUGGAGCAUGAGUAAAUGUACAGUUGGGAUCAGUCUUGAUUUGGCACGGAAUACAACCAGACAAAUCAAUGCUAUUUCUUCCCUGUUUCUAGCAUUCAGGAUGUCACUCUUGAAAAAAAUAUUUCAUUAUUGAAAAAUAGAUGGAAACCUCUCCUCUGAUAUAUUUCUCCAGUGUACUGCAGGGGUGGAAAGUCACCAUGCUGAGCUGUCAGAGCCCUGUGCACUAAGAUGCUGCGUCCAAGCUAAUCUGCAAUAUUACUCAUCACCAGAUCAGCUGUUGAAAUCUUUCCAUCAAGUCAGAAGGGAACUGGCCACUUCACAUAGAGGGUGCACCCACUCUGAGAUAAUGAUACUUUGGCUUGGGCAUCACCAAAAAAGAGGCUGUGCAAGCCUUGAGAUCCCUUACCUAGCAUCUGAUAUCUGCAGAGAGAGGAGGAAAUUCUCCGCUCAACUUUUGACCUGAUUUGAAAACUCUCUGUAAUGCUGCUGAGUGUCGGAUUGCCCGAGUUGCUUCACUCUCUGUUUCCUGGAGGGGGAGGGAAGCUGCACAGCAUGGCUUCUGUGGUUACCUUAGGAACUGUGUGCUGGAGUGGUUCCAGUCCCAAGCUGGGCUUAGGUUUCCUAAACUGAGCUGAUUGAAAACCAG